rnacentral:rRNA from 1 species
AGCGAACGCUGGCGGCAUGCUUAACACAUGCAAGUCGCACGCCCAGCAAUGGGAGUGGCGGACGGGUGAGUAACGCGUAGGAAUGUGUCCAGAGGUGGGGGACAACCCCGGGAAACUGGGGCUAAUACCGCAUAUGAGCUGAGGAUCAAAGCAGUAAUGCGCCUUUGGAGCAGGCUGCGUCCGAUUAGGUAGUUGGUGGGGUAAUGGUCUACCAAGCCUGCGAGCGGUAGCUGGUCUGUGAGGACGAUCAGCCACACUGGGACUGAGACACGGCCCAGACUCCUGCGGGAGGCAGCAGUGGGAAAUAUUGGACAAUGGGGGCAACCCUGAUCCAGCAAUGCCGCGUGUGUGAAGAAGGUCUUCGAAUCGUAAAGCACUUUCGGCGGGGACGAUGAUGACGUUACCCGCAGAAGAAGCCCCGGCUAACUUCGUGCCAGCAGCCGCCGUAACAC